rnacentral:rRNA from 1 species
GAUGAACGCUAGCGGCAGGCCUAACACAUGCAAGUCGAGGGGUAGAGUUAGCUUGCUAACUUGAGACCGGCGCACGGGUGCGUAACGCGUAUGCAAUCUACCUUGUACAGGGGGAUAGCCCAGAGAAAUUUGGAUUAAUACCCCAUGGUGUUUAGAAGUGGCAUCACUUUUUUACUAAAGUUCCAACGGUACAAGAUGAGCAUGCGUCCCAUUAGCUAGUUGGUAUGGUAACGGCAUACCAAGGCUAUGAUGGGUAGGGGUCCUGAGAGGGAGAUCCCCCACACUGGUACUGCGACACGGACCAGACUCCUACGGGAGGCAGCAGUGAGGAAUAUUGGUCAAUGGUCGCAAGACUGAACCAGCCAUGCCGCGUGCAGGAAGACGGUCCUAUGGAUUGUAAACUGCUUUUAUACAGGAAGAAACCCUCUCACGUGUGGGAGCUUGACGGUACUGUAUGAAUAAGCAUCGGCUAACUCCGUGCCAGCCGCCGCCGUAACAC